UGACCUGGGCUACACACGUGCUACAAUGGGCGGUACAAAGGGUCGCGAACCCGCGAGGGGGAGCCGAAUCCCAAAAAGCCGCUCUCAGUUCGGAUUGCAGGCUGCAACUCGCCUGCAUGAAGCCGGAAUCGCUAGUAAUCGCGGAUCAGCACGCCCGCGGUCCGUAAUACGUUCCGGGCCUU
rnacentral:rRNA from 1 species